GUUUGCUUGGUUUACUUGUGUAAAUUAAUGAACCCAGAACGAAACAAAAACCAAAGGUCAAAUACGGCGAACGACUGGCAAUUGGCGAUCAGCGAACGACAACCGGUGAUUGGCGAACAAUGAGGAAAAUCUUAGGUUCAAGUUCAGGUUCAGGUUCAGGUUCAGGUUCUGGUUUUAAUGGCCUAAAGUCAGAGCAUCAUCGGUGUGUGCAGUGAGCAGCCAAUCAGCGACGAUAACAAGCAACAAAGAACCACGUCCGGAGGUCAUCAUAAUGGAUGAGAAUUUAAUUGAUCAGCAUAACAUGGCAAUCAGUUCCUUCCAUUGCCCAAUUGCUCAAUCUCAUUGGCUCCUGUUUUUCCGUGGAUACAAAAUGCCUAUGAAUUUUUACAAUCCCUUAUACGAGGACACAUACCAAAUGGCUAUUCCUUGUGAGUUAUCCGGUGCAGUGCUUCGCUUCUCCAGUAAUGGUUGGUUGCUUAUGUCUAGAGGAAAAGAUGUGGUAAUUCCACCAAAUUAAGGGCGUGGAGUGCAUUCUGAGGGCACAAGGCUCUUGUUUUGUUGUGACUAAAUUUUUGCAAGCCAAUGGCUAUAUCUAUAUGGGUUCGAGUAACCAUUUUGUGUAACCAGACUUAAGCCUUGGACUUUGUAGCCCUUAAGGGCAUUUAUUUAUUUUGACUAGAUGUUUUGCAUGCUAUAAAUUCAUGUAUUAAAGUUGUUGAAUUUAUAAUUGCAUGUGGAACUAUUUUGUAAAACUCUUACAAUUAUUUAUGCAAGUGUGGAGAUUUACUUA